rnacentral:rRNA from 1 species
AUUGAACGCUGGCGGCAGGCCUAACACAUGCAAGUCGAAUGGUAACAGGAAACAGCUUGCUGUUUCGCUGACGAGUGGCGGACGGGUGAGUAAUGUCUGGGAAACUGCCUGAUGGAGGGGGAUAACUACUGGAAACGGUAGCUAAUACCGCAUAACGUCGCAAGACCAAAGAGGGGGACCUUCGGGCCUCUUGCCAUCAGAUGUGCCCAGAUGGGAUUAGCUAGUAGGUGGGGUAACGGCUCACCUAGGCGACGAUCCCUAGCUGGUCUGAGAGGAUGACCAGCCACACUGGAACUGAGACACGGUCCAGACUCCUACGGGAGGCAGCAGUGGGGAAUAUUGCACAAUGGGCGCAAGCCUGAUGCAGCCAUGCCGCGUGUAUGAAGAAGGCCUUCGGGUUGUAACGUACUUUCAGCGGGGAGGAAGGGAGUAAAGUUAAUACCUUGGCUCAUUGACGUUACCCGCAGAAGAAGCACCGGCUAACUCCGUG